UCAACAACAACAACAACAACAAAAAAAAAAACAAAACACCUAAGUCAGAUCAUGCCACUGUCUUCUAGAACCCUCCAGGGACAACCUAUCUCAGUGUAAAAGCCAAAGUCCUUAGGGCGGCCUACGAGGCCCUCCAUGAUCCGCCUCCUCCUCCCUGCCAGUCCUAUUUACCCCUUUCUCACUCUACUGGCCUUGUUUCUGUUCCUGGAACACACCAGGUACACUCUCGCAUUGGGACUCUGCAGCUGCGGUUCCUUCUGUCUGGAAUGUACUUUCUCCAAAUAUCUGCAUGGCUGGCUCCCUCACCAUCAAGUGUCACCUUCUCAGUAAAGCCUUCUCUGACCACUAAACUUAACACUCAGACCCCCUUACCCCCAGCAUUUCCUGUCUCCCUUCCUGCUUUAUUUUUCUCCAUAGAACUUAUCACCCUCUAAUAUACCAUAUAAAUUAAUAAUUAGAUAUAAUUAUAUAUAUAAGAUACACAUUUAUAUAUACAAAUUAUAUAUAGUUCCUUUGGUUUAUUGUCUGUCUGUAUUUAGAAAUUCCACAAGGUCCAGAAUUUUUGUCUGUUUUGUUCAUUGCAGUAUCUCUAAAAUCUGGAACAUGGUAAAUAAUAAGUACAUAUGGAAUGAAGUAUUGGUGUGUGCACGGUGUGUGUGUGGGGUGUGUGUGUGUGCCUGUGUGUGUACGUGCUGGGUUUCAUAGUGUAGGUCACAUUCCAAAAGGCUUGUAUGAUACCGCCUUGGAGCAUACUUGGACUACCUCUGGGCUUACUAAGAGUGAAGACUGAAAAGCAAUUACGGUACAGACACCCAACAGUCCUCAUGUCUUACAGGCUGGGUGCCUGGAACAAAUGAUGCCACUGGUAAUUGCUAUUUGAAAUAUGUGUAUAUGUGAGUGUAACUGAUUUACACACAAGAGGGUUGUUCCCUUGGGGGACCACCAAGGCACCAUAAAUUGGCAAGAGGAAACAGGCAGAUCAGAAAAAUCAUAAAAUUUUAAGACCCUCAGAGAUGAUCUGGGCCAAACUAAUAAUUCUACACAUAAGCAUCAAAGUCACAAAAUGAUAACAUAAUUUGCCCCUGGACACACAAAAAGUAAAUGCUGAGAAAGAACUACCAUAGACUUAGGUCACGUGACCCCUCAUCCAGUGAUCUUUACGCACCCUGGCCCAUCACAAAACUGAAAAACAGGAAUCUGCUCUCCAAAACCCUCUGCCUGUUCCCUUUUCCUUGGGAAUAACCUGAAAUUAUUUCUCCAAUUAGGCACCAAUACAUUUAUUCCACUGGACUUGACCGUUUGUAGGAAUCUCUGUUUUAAAAACAAAGAACUGCUAAUGAUCACUAUUUCUCAUAAAUGAAAGCCUUAAAAAUUCCCUCCCAUAGCAAGCGGCAGUGGGCUGAAUCAUCUACUAUUAUUCCCUGCCUUUCUAAUAAUAUAGUUCCAACUUACAUCAGGCGCAGGGAUGUUAAAGCCUGUCAAGAAUCAAAACCUUCAACCCUCACUGUCCUACUUCUCAUUAGAGCUAAAGACUCUAUCCAGUUUUAAAUUAAUGGAUUUAUAUUUUUUUCAUAACCAUAAAACAAAGUGCUUCAAACCAUAAAGCACUAACAAGUGAAAACAACAUAUGAGUUGUCAGUCAUCUUAAUGUAGUAGGUUAGCAGAACAUUUUUUUCAGGGAGUGAUAUUAUUACUAAGUGAAUAGUUGCACUAAUUGCUUGGCUCUCAACUAAGACUAUAAUAAGCUUUUUGACUAUGAGAGGCCAUGCGUCUUGGAAUUCUCAGUGUUUUGUUGGUGGCCUUAGAGACUCUAAGGGCUGAGGACAUUCAUGACAUAAUUGUGGCGGAUGUUCUUGGUUCCCUCUUCCCCCUUAACAGAACCCUGUUCCGUUCAGGCCUCCUCACCCCUUCAGGAGAGGCUGGACCAUCUGCACUCCAGGAAGGGGGUCACAACUGGACUAAGUACAUCCAGGGAAUCCUAUUCCCUUGCCAGUGAUUGGUUCACACCUAAGCAUAUGACAAAGCUGUAGCCAAUGAGGCAAGGGGAACUUUGCUGGGGGGUGGGGGUGGGGCAGGUGUGUCUGAGAAAGUCUUUUUUAUCUUCCACAGGGUGAGGAGGAAGAGAUUUCCCCUUCUCUGUUUCAGAUAUGAUCCCAGGGGACUGCUAUUGUCAUCUUGACCCUGUAAAGACAGUGAGGCUGAGGACAAGGCCCCCCGACCAAGAGGGCAGCGCUAAGAGAAGGAGACAGAGCCAGAUACUGCAGUGUCUACAACCACGGUACCUCAGCACUUUGUUUUAGAGUUUUCUGUAUUUGCGGUGAAACGUCCUAAUCCUUACAAUAAUUGCAUCCUGGAAUGGUCUGGUCAGGAUGUGAGGAGGUGUGAAUGUGUUAUAUGUGUUGGUGUUAGCAUGAGAAAAGUUUGAGUGAACAGCAGGUCCCAGGAACAGUGAGUCUUUUGUUAGAGAUGGCUUAGCCCGUGACAUUAGAAAGCAGGAGGAGCAAAGUCUAAAAUCUGAUAUGUCAGGGGAACCGCAGAGGCCAGCGCAAGGCACAAUAUCAUCCCCACGUGUGCUGCUGUCAUAGGGUGCCCAGGGUGGCCAGAUUUCACCUGAGGGAAGACACAGAACAACAGAGUCACUGUAGCCCGUGCCCACUUCCUCUAGGGGUUGCCAGGAAAACACUCUGAAUGAGACCUUAAGGAAGAAGUUCUAGUACUUGCUUUGUCUUCACACUCCCGUGAAGGGGCAUUUAUUUGUAUUUUGUGGGGGUGCCUGUCUCAGGUGUCCUAUGGGAAAAAGGAGGAAAGGCCAUGAACAACUUGAAGGGGAGCCAGCCAUCCUAUACAUUCACGCAGGCCAUUGGAUACUGAAGCCUGCCCAAAAAGUGGCUACCCAGGGACUCAGUUCCCCAAAGACGUCUGUCUUUAGCUUCAUUAAUUCCAUGACAGGGCCAAUCUUCCUCCAAUUAACAGAAAGUUUAUCUACCUAGAGGAGUCUCUAUACUUGGGAGGAAGAAGAGGACUUUUGCAACAACCUGGCACUCAAAACCAGCAAGUAUUAAAAAAUGUUCAUUGACUAGGUUCCUUACAGUGAACAAUACAUGGUUCUAGAAAAUUUACUAUUUAUAAUCACUCAUAUUUUCCAUGUGAUCUGAUCAAAUGCAUUUUUUCUUUACUUGUGUGGGGUAAAAGUAAAUACUGUCAGAACCUCUGUGACAGCUACAAGCGUGUAAAAUUUAAGUCUUUCUAACAAAGUCUUUGUAGUACAAUACCGUGAUCUGUUGUGAUCAAAGGGUGUCGGUUCUUUGAUUAGAAACAACAAAAGAGCCAGCAGAUGAUAUCCUUGGAAACGUCUGUACAAGCAUCCAUCUAAGUGGGGGCAUAUGGAGGCAGCCACAGACACAUCACUGUGCGAAUAAUACUCAGGAGCAUCAGGCACACAGUAGAGAAACUUGCUUCCUGGAUGACUCACACUCUACUUCGAGGCCAUAGAGUUGUGGCCAGAGUUUAAAAAGCUGGAUAAAAAGCUAAUUAACUAGUCAUAAGAAAUGCACUAAUUGCUUUGUCCAGCAUUAGCAGAGGGGACCUACUGCUCUCCCUCAUUCUUCAGUGAGAAGGAGGGUGCCAUGGCCUUUUGGGGAUACUGGGGAAGGGAGGCAUUUAUCUAGUGGAGGCUGAACUAACCAGCCCUAGAGAGCAAGUCUCUAUGGAACUAUCUGAGAAGGUCAGGGGCUGGCUGCAGAAAAAGAUGAAUGUGGAAAUGAAAAGGGGAAGAGAAGGGGCACCCCCAUGUAUUGAGCAAGUUAUCAGUGAGUAGGGAUUGAAAUGCCUCCCAUCUGAUUGCAAGCAUCCUGUCCAGGAAGGCCUUAACCUAUGGGUUUGUAUUUUCUGUUUGCUCACGUUAUGACUGAUUCACCUUCUCUUUCUUACAAUAUCAAUUUCUAUGCUUUCUUAAAGUAAUGGCUUUAUUGAGCUAUAAAUCGCACACCCUACAAUUUACCUGUUUAAAAGCAAACAAUUCAAUGACUUUUAGUUUAUUCACAGAUAUGUGUAACUAUUAAGUAUUACCACAAUCAAAUUUAGAACAAUUUCGUUACCACAAAAAGAACUCAUACCUAUUAGCAGUCACUCCCCAUUUCACUCCAAACCUCUCAGCCGCAGGGGACAACUCAUCUACUUUCUGUCUCUAGGAUUUGCCUAUCUUGAGUGUUCCAUAUGCGUGGAAUCAUAUAGUAUGCAGUCUUUCACUUCUUUCACUUAACAUACUGUUUUCCAGGCUCAUCCCUGGUGUAGCAUGUAUACAGCAUCGCUUUUUGAGAAUCUCCCUGUGGCUCUCCAUGUUGAACUCUAGCUUUACUACUUAUGUUUCUUCAGUGUUCACUAUUCACUCCUGAAAUGUGCUUGUGAACCACAAAUCAAGGUAAAAAGUCCUGAUUCAGAUAAAUUCAUGUGAUUCUGCUCAGAGUCUCCUGUUGCAAGUACAUGCAAAUAAGUUAAAAAAAAAAUUUCUAGGCCAGGCGCGGUGGCUCACACUUGUAAUCCCAGCACUCUGGGAGGCCGAUGCAGGUGGAUCACGAGGUCAGGAGUUUGAGACCAGCCUGGCCAACAUGGUGAAACCUUGUCUCUACUAAAAAUACAAAAAUUAGCUGGGUGUGGUGGCACGCACCUGUAAUCCCAGCUACUCAGGAGGCUGAGGCAGGAGAAAUCCUUGAACCCAGGAAGCGCAGGGUGCAGUGAGCUAAGAUCAUGCCACUGCACUCCAGCCUGGGCGAUAGAGUUUUUUCCAUCUUGGGGGAAAAAAAUUUUUUUCUAAAAGUUACUGAAGGCCUGUGACUAAUGUGAACUGGUGACAGGGUCCUUGCAGAACUGAUUUACAAACAAGAGAUAAAGGAGGGAAGGGGCUACAGUUGCACUCCUAUGACAGUAACUGAGUGCUUGUAUAUGUCAGACACUGUGCUAGGCACUGGAGAUCCAGCAGUGAACAAAACAAAAAUAGCUGCCCUUGUGAAGCCGGUAUUUUAGUGAUACAUGAUAAAAUUAUUUUAAAAAGAAAAGCAAGGGAAUAAGGUGAAAAUUCAGAGUAGUGGUUACCUUUGGAAGGAGGGAAUGAAAUAUGAUGGGGAAGGAAAGAGAGAGGAAUACAGAGGAAGACACAAGGCUAGGUAAUGUUCCUAAAUUGGGUGGUGGCUUUCCUAAUAAUUAUGUGGCUACGCUAUUACUGAUUUUUUUUGUAUAUAUUGCAUCUUACGUAAAAUGUGUAUAAUUUUUUUUUACAUAAUAAAGAACCAUUCCUCUAGAUGGGAAAGUAUAAACAGUGGUGUUCCUUGGAUUGACUGAGCUAAUUUAAAAUGUUGGGACUGCAGGAUGCAUAUUGGAGCUUUACAUAGAGUAGAGAAACUCUAAGUUGGCACGAUUACACUCCAAGGAUUUGAAAGGCUGAUGAAGAAAAGCAAGGUAAGGUAUUUAGGAGAAACUUUUCCAGUUACCUUAGAAGAUCACGAGUUCUGAGUGGUCACUUACCACUCAGGAAAGGAACCUGUGGUGCAUCUUAUUAGAAUAUGAGCUUUAUGAGAUCAGGGAUUUUUAGGUUUUGUUCACAAAUUUUCAAGUUUUUUCACAGCCAUUCACACAUUCGAUUCUAACAACUAGUAUUAUUAGCCCAUUUUACGGAUAAGAAAAUAGAAACUCUGAGAGCUAUUUGGUGCUGGUGUUUGGACCAGAUCCCCAGCUUCCUAGAGCUUAUAACACAACGCCACCCUUGGACUGUGUGGUUCCAAUGAACCCACAUUAAUUCAUGAAACCCAAAAAUGGAUGCUAAAAAUAAGUUUCAGAGAGUUAAAUUUAAAGCAAUAGGAAGAAACACCAAUUCGCUCUAUAGGUAGAAAAUGGCUGAAACUCAUUCCUGUAAGAAGGAGCACAAGCUGAAACUACAGAUGGAUUCAGACAUGUUUACAUUAACUCCUGAAUGACAGAUUUACACUCAGCUAUUUAUGAAAAGUAAGAUGUCUGCAGGGCAUUUCCUCCCUGAAAGGCUGUUGUGCAUUUUUACAAAAUACCCUUACUGCUAUUACUUUAGAAUGCGGAACCAAAUAAGUACUGUGGCAAUUACUAUGUUCUUAACCCAGAUGACAUCGUUUAACUCAAAAUCAUGUCUUACAUGUGUAAUUGCCUAGGAUUUGCUGUGAUUCUAUUUCUAAUCUUAAUCUGAUAUUAAUUAUUUCAGGAGAGUUUACAAAGCUUCUGUCAAUUGCUUUUUCCACUGAAGAAUUCAUAUUCCGAAAAAAGGCAUGUGGAUUAGUUUGGCUGCUUAAAGCAAGCAUAGGACUCGGGCUCUCCUGAGACCAAAGUUCAACCCUAGGGCAUAUUAACAUCACAGAGAACAAAAACUUCUGUGCCCUGGUCACCGGGAGUACCUUCAACCCUAGGCAUUGAUCAUGAGGCAGAUCCAGAGAGGAUAUUUGGCUAGAGCUAACCAGGACCCCAACCAGAAAUUAACAACUCAAAGGGUACCUACUGAAAGAGAAUAGUGCUCUCUGUGUAUAUGAAAAUCAGCAAAAAUAGUAUUAUUUACCAAAUAAGUAUGGUUUACUGGAUCUCACUGUCUCUGAGGACAAGCACUGUAAAACAAAAUGGUUAUUUUUUUGUAAUAAAGAGAAUUUGAAUGAGCAACUUAAAUCAAUAUUAGGCAGCCAAAUUAUGUGUAUUAAUAUCUACAUAUCAUUAGCAUAAUCCCAAGUGAAUUAUUUCAUUACUAAAAGUAAUGCUAGAACUGACUUUUCAUUUCCCUUGAUAUUAACUUAUAUACGAUAUAAAUUUGACUGGAAAUAAUUGGAACCUAAUCCACUUCCACUUUCUGUGUAUACAUAUAUACACACACAUACAGAAAUACAGAUAUGUGUGGAUGUGUAUGUAAACCCACAUACUUAUCCAUGGCAGGACAUCACGGUACAAAGGCUAUGAGGCAAGAGUUUUCUACACACACACACACACACACACACACACACACACACACACACACACACAGAGAGAGAGAAAAACGUGUGCUUUGUUUCCUCAGCUUCUCUUUCCAACUUCAUAGCAUUGCAGGCUUUCUUUGGAAGGAGGCGUAUACAUAAAUCUAACAAAAAUACAUGAAGUCUAGAAUUAAACUGAAGCCCAAACAAAACAAAACACAAAAUCUGUCUAAACAAGAAUGUGACAAAUGUCCCAACCUGUUCCUCUUUAUAGAACUUCACUUGAAAGUCACUAUAAAGAUUCAGAAAAAUUAAGGACAUCUCUCAAUGUCUGGGACUAAAACCAAACAGGGACCUGAGAAUCAGGGCUGAGUUGCCUUGGUAAGUUUCUGCCUUGGUGAAUGGAGGAUAAGUAGACAGGGCUACAGGAGCCACUGAGCAGUGCAUCAGCAGGUUUUGUAUGGCAGAUUCUGCGAUCAAGGUUAGAACAUUCUCACUGGAGUCAUCCAGACCACAGCUGUCCAAUACAAAUAUAAUGUAAGCCACGCAUGUAACUUCAAAUAUUCUAGUAGUUACCUUAAACACAUUUUUAAAAAACAGGUAAAAUUAAUUUUGUAAAUAUAUUAUAUUUAGCUUAAUAGAUCCUUUUUUUUUUUUUUUUUUUUUUUUUGAGACGGAGUUUCACUCAUGUUGCCCAGGCUGGAAUGCAAUGGCGCAAUCUCUGCUCACUACAACCUCUUUCUCCCGGAUUCAAGCGAUUCUUGUGCCUCAGCCUCCUGAAUAGCUGGGAUUACAGGUAUGCGCCACCAUGCCCAGCUACUUUUUGUAUUUUUAGUAGAGACCAGGUUUCACCAUGAUGGUCAGGCUGAUCUCAAACUCCUGACCUCAGGUGAUCCACCCGCCUUGGCCUCCCAAAGUGCUGGGAUUACAGGCGUGAGCCACCGUGCCAGGCCUAGAUCCAAAAUAUUAUCACCUAAACAUAUAUUCAAUAUUUCAAAGGUUAUGAGUCAGAUAUUUUAUAUUUUUUGGCUUUGUACUAAGCGUUUGAACUCUAGUGUGAAUUUUACACUUGUAGCACAUCUCAAUUCAGACUAGCCAUGUUUCAACGGCUCAGUAACCACAUGUGGCUGUCACACUGGACUGUGCAGGUCUAGGUCUUGAGAAUCAGGCCCUUAGAGGUCAAUGGCACACCCCAGCCUCUGACACAUGCUGCAGGAGAUCUACUGCAACAGCCACGCUCCCUGCUUCCCAUUUCUUUGCUGUCCCAACAGUCUCUUGGGCUUAUUUCAUGGAAGCAACAUCAUGUAAGAAAAAGCAUUUCACAUUGCUAAUAUGGCAUUAUGUGAAGUAAUAAGGAAGCGCUAGGUUUCACUUCCUUGAAAAGGACAAUACCCAGCCAGUACUGAGGGUGCAGAGGGCAAUGAUGGGGCCCGAUAAAAUCCAGGAACUGGGCCUCCGAUGAGAAAAGAAUUGCAUAAGGUUAUCACCCAAGUGCUUCUGUGAUUCAUAUUGCCCUAAAUCAAUGAUCUAAGUUAUGUCAAUAAAUAAUAAGCCACCAUGUCACAGUCUUUUGGUUAUUAUAGUUUCUGAAUCCAAUGGCCUCAACAUUCACCUCUUUCUUGACAGUUAACUUGACACUUUAAAGACACCUUCCACCUUCCCAUUUUGUUGCACUUGAGGAUGGUAACAGAAGUUCAAGGAGAACUGUUUCCUUUUCUUAGAAACUGUCAUAUUCCUGCAUCUUAUUUGCAUGCAUUUCCCCCCAAUUAAAUGUGCUGAAAAUUCCAAAAGCUAACUUUAUUUUCUAAAAACCAAUGCAUUUGCUUUGCCCUGAUGUGGGCUUUUUGUAGAAGUAAAAAUCCUUCUAGCUAGCUGCUGAUGGCCAGGUUGGUAGAAAAUCUCUUUUAAAUAACACGGCUUGUAUAUGCCACUAGCAACCUCAGUCCACACAUUCACAGUUUUCCUUACGAUGUCUUUAAAGGAGAUUCAAUGGUAAGAUCCAAACUUUUUGAACAUGGGCACUUUUUCCUCUUUGAGGGUGAAAUCAGAACUCACUGUGGGUUUAUUUGAAAAAGAAAUUGAGUUGCCAUUAGGGAAACAACAAACCACUUUUUAAAUAAAGCUUGAAUCAUACCUCAGGACUACAGAGUUUAUAAACAUUUUCAAUUACCCUCCCCAAUAUCAUCCUCCAGCUGUCAUUCCACAGUUUCCCUCGGGGUCAUAAAGAAAUUACUUUUUUAAAAAGUCAAUUUGCAAAAUUAGUAAAAGAUAACCUAAACAGCACAAGCAGCACACACAGCAAUGGGAGCGCUCUGGAUCAGAUUUUCUCUUUUUAGCUUGUUGAUUUUACAUUAGUUUUGUCUCUGUCUUAGAGAAUUUCCUGUAAAAAAUGAUAAAAAUGUUUUGUGUCUGUGUAGUCCAAUAUGGUAGCCACUGGCCAUGUGUGCUAUUGAGCACUAGAAAGAUGCCUAGGGUAACUGAGGAACUGAAUAUUUUUACACUUAAAUUUAAAUAGCCACAUGUGACUAAUGGUUACCAUACUGGACAACACAGCUAUACACAGGGCAGACCUAAGCCACUUAAAUCUUUGUGCCUUUAUGGGUACAACAGCCUGGAGAUCUGAGGCCCAUUUAAAAUAUAAAGCGCUUUAUGACUUCUUUUUUGAAAGUAUUAAGUAAUUAAAUAGAGCAGCCUCUAUGAGGCCAGAGAGAAAAAAAAAAAAGUCUACAAGAAAUUCUCUAAGGAUGAUGCUACUCUUUAGGAUGAGCCAGGAAGUGGGUGGGGGGAGCAUUAAUGUCACAGGAGCUUGGGUCCUAGAUGACAGUUCCAGCUCUAGCUCUGCUGUCAAGUAACUGAGUGGCAUGAGACAGUUUCUGAGUUCCUUGGGCUCUGAUUUUCUUAUACAAUGUUGGAAUCUGUGAAACAACUACCAAGGUUCCUCCUUGCUCUCAGUCUAGUCAGUCCAGCUCUUAUUUCUUAGGAGAUUAAAACUACUGGUUGAUUUAAAAUAAUACUUUACACUGCAGUACAAACAGGCUGAGGUUGAGUGAUUUUGACAGGCCAAACUGUUGAAGCAAAGGAAUGCUAAAAUUAGUCCAAACUAUAGAGACUAUAUUCAGAUUAGUCUCACAAAGGUGUACAAUUAAUUAUAAAUGAGGAGAAAGGCAGGGUAUUUGCACAAACAGCUAGUGGCUGGCCCUCCCAGAAUGCACAGCUGAAAGGUUAGUGGCCAGUUGAUGAUACACUCAUCCCAAUUCUUCAGCUUCAGGCCCCAGAGGACAGCCACCUAGGUUCCAUUGCAGAGCACCCUACCUAUAGGGCCGGCCCAUCUCUGACUGCCGUUUCCUCUAGCCAUGGAGACUUUAAAUGAACCUCUGCAUUUGUUUGUAGCUUGGAGACACAUCAUUGUGUUCUGUCACACCAACCAGCCUGCACCAGAGACACAGGAAUCUUGAUCUUCUGGCAGAAAACUCUUCCAAAACAUUCCUAUGUGACACUGCUCAUGUAUAGGUGCUCCAAACCAAAUGUCCAGUUGCUUCCACCAUUGUGCAAAAAUGGGAGACCCUGCCGAGCAGCAGAUGGCCCUCAGCACGGCUGACACUCAGGCCAGGCCCCAGGUGGCAGCUCUCAGAACACACUGUCCAGCUAAACCCUGCACAGACUGGCCGUUGAAAAUACCUGGUGUUCACAUUCCCCAAAAGUUGGGCAAAUGACAGGGUCACCCAGUGCACUUCAUGGGGUCAGUGGGGAGAACCAGCAUUUCAGCACAAGUUCACAAAUCACUGGGUCCCCCUUGUCAAACACUGCAAAUAUGUAGCAUGCUAAGAAAAAUCUCCUUACCUCUCAGACUCUGUAUCACUCAGUUCAUCUGAGUUGCUACAAUGGACAAUAAAAUCUAAUAAGUUAAAAUGAGGUAUGGAAUGCUCAGGAGAAAAACAACAAGGACUAGUACUCCUCAUCUGAGUAAAUAAUUUCUCUCACAGGGUUAAUUUUAGCUUUGCAAGUUUUUUAUUUGAGAUUAUAUUUUAAAUCACAAUUUGUGCACGUGUGAUUUAAAAUAAAAAAGGCAAUCAAGUCUUUCUGCCAGUCUAGGUGAUGUGAAAUUUAAUUAUCGAGCAGUUAUCAUUAAAAUAAACGCAAAGCAAUUUUUUAGACAUAAUUGAAUAUUCCAGAAGAAAAUUUCUGAAAAAUCCAAAGGUCCAAAAGAAAACUUCUCAGUGAGAAUGUCUGUUUCAGUAAGAUACCCUGUUUUGUAGUAUUGGAUGCAGAGAAUUUCUAGUUAGACAUACAUAAGUCUUGCCAGAAUUACUAUAGUUCAGUUUUGCCACCUGCAUCUAGAAAUAUGGAAGACUUAUCUACGUUACUGGUUUUGACUCCCCAAUAAUGAGUAAUGAAAAUUCCUAUUUAUCAUUUCUACAUCAACAUCAGUGUGAUAGCAGAAAACAGCAUGAUUUACCUGGCCCACAAUACUGUUGUAUAGAAUUUAAAGAAAUAAAUACCUCAAUCCAUUCAGGAAUGUUCUUUUCCCAAUUAAGGUUUUGAAGACUGCACCUAAUACUGACUUGUUAUCUUUUUCUGUUUGCAUUUUAAUUUUAAAAGUCUGUGUCAACUUUAUUUUGAUAAUACAGUGGGUUUACGUUUCCAAAUCUUAACUUCUUAUCCCCAGGGUUCCUUUAAUAUUUAAUGUUUUACCCUUUUCAGUUACUGAGAACAUCUCAUAUCUUCUUUAUUUAUUGAUUUGCUUGGGUUGAUUUUUUUCUUGACUGUGAAAUUAUCCAUUUGGCAAUCAUAUUGCUAAUAUGCAAAAAGUUCUUAUUUUAAUUAUACAAGCAAAUGUAACCCAUGAUUAUUAAGAAGACUAUUUUGCAAAUUGGCCGUUGUUUAUCUCAGAAUAUAACCAAGAACCACAGGCUAAAUUAGAAGCUUAAGGAUAAGAACUUUUUUUUAUUUUUGCAAUUUAAAAUAAUAAAGGUAAUCAAAGCUUCCUGCCAAUCUAGGUGAUUGUGAAAUUUAAUUACCAGUAGUUAUUAAAACAAAGGUAAAGCAAUUUCUUUUACACAUAAUUGAAUAUUCCAGAAGAAAAUUCAUGAAGAGUUCUCAGAAAAUGUAUUUUUAAAUUAAUUGUAACCUGAUUAUUUCAUUUGUUAUGUCUCAGUUGGUACCAUAGAAUAAAUGACACAUUUGGGCGAUGUAGUUUAACAGCAGCUAGUGAGAGCAAAUUCUCAGGAAAAUCAGGCAACUUUGACCUUAAUGCUGAGCAAAUUAUUAGAUCUUUACUCUGCAAACACAAACAUACCUAAAUCUCCCGCAGCUAUUCCUCUAUGAGAGGUAUAACCCAUGUUGACUUCAC
rnacentral:lncRNA from 1 species